UAAUACGUAGGUGGCAAGCGUUGUCCGGAUUUACUGGGCGUAAAGAGCGCGCAGGCGGUCGUGCAAGUCGCGUGUGAAAGCCCCCGGCUCAACUGGGGAGGGUCACGCGAUACUGCUCGACUUGAAGGCAGGAGAGGGAAGUGGAAUUCCCGGUGUAGUGGUGAAAUGCGUAGAUAUCGGGAGGAACACCAGUGGCGAAGGCGACUUCCUGGCCUGUUCUUGACGCUGAGGCGCGAAAGCUAGGGUAGCAAACGGGAUUAG
rnacentral:rRNA from 1 species